rnacentral:rRNA from 1 species
UAUCCGGAAUUAUUGGGCGUAAAGGGCUCGUAGGCGGUUCGUCGCGUCCGGUGUGAAAGUCCAUCGCUUAACGGUGGAUCCGCGCCGGGUACGGGCGGGCUUGAGUGCGGUAGGGGAGACUGGAAUUCCCGGUGUAACGGUGGAAUGUGUAGAUAUCGGGAAGAACACCAAUGGCGAAGGCAGGUCUCUGGGCCGUUACUGACGCUGAGGAGCGAAAGCCGUGGGGAGCGAACAGGAUUAGAUACCCUGGUAGUCCACGCCGUAAACGGUGGAUGCUGGA